UGUACUUGUCAGGGAGAGGACUCUAUUCU
rnacentral:piRNA from 1 species